rnacentral:lncRNA from 1 species
AGACAUUUCUCAAAACUUGUUUAAAGUAGCAGAGAUACAGAAAAAUGUUUAAAAGAUUGCAGUUAAAUAUGUUAUAGAUGGAAAAUGUUGGUUCCCAAGGAAAAAGAGAUGGAGUGCUUUUUUUUGUAUAUUCUUACUGUUUGGUGAAGCACCAUAUUGCUUUAAGUCCUUUGAAAGGGCAUUGUUUUUAUUUUAAUUAAUCAAAUAGUAUUUACUUAUGCAUAUUAUUUCCAUAUAGUUAACAGCUAUUCCUGACAUAUGUCAAACAAUUACUUUUGUUUAGAUUUAGUUUAGUUUAGGUUUGUUAGUAGGAAUCAUUUACUCCCAAAUUUCACAUAAAAUAUCAAGUAAAAUGUUUGUUUAGUUGUUUAUUUUCAAGGCUUCUGACUGCUUAUGUUAACACACUAUACUUUGAACAGGAUCAAAGAGUAAAUUACUGUUUUUAAUUGGACUUUUUUUCUGCUCCGUACUAUGUUGCAAAUUAAUUUUGUAAACUCAAAGGAAUCAGUUAAUUAUUUAGAUUGUGUCAGUGUUUGUUUUUAG